rnacentral:lncRNA from 1 species
CCAGCACUGCACUGGGACUCACAUUUCAGCCCAAGCUUUUAAGAGGGCUGACCUCGGUGGUCUGCUAUAUGAAAGAGCUUCAGUAAUCAUGAUCCAUCAUGGGAAAAAGAAGUUAUCAGGCAAGAGGAUGUGAGGGGAACAAUUAUAUGGAUGGAAAACAUCUUCAUUAUCAAAGAAACAGACUCGGGAAGGGGAUGUGCUGGCAUCACACCUACAAAGACGAGCAGGGAGGGGAACAGGACGAGGUAGAGCUGAAGAAAUGGGGCUGCAGAAGUUGUUGAAUUUGGCCCGAGUGGCCAGGCAGUCCCAGGCGCCAUUCACAGGUUGUGGACAAUUAGCAGAUGUUUCUUUUUCCAGGUAAGUCCAAUCCCACAGGUGUAGGCUGUGUUUAUACUGAGUCAGAUGGUGGUGGCGUCAUAGCAGUAUGACCAGGGGAUUUUGGCCAGGGGAUGGCUCCUCUCUUCUUGAGAGCCAGGACUCAGCGUUCCAACGUUCCAGGGAAGAUACUGGUAAAAAUUAAGAAAUGGUGGUUUGCCCGUGAGUUCCCCUGAGUCAUCAGCACCCAUCGGUGAUACACUAUACCUGACCCUGUGGCCUUUAAAUCAUGUUAUAGAAUUUGAGUAACUAGGAAAAUAUUCACAUCAAAUAACUGAUAAAAAGGGUUAUACAACCAUAUGCACCAUAUAAGGCAAAAUAUCUCUCUAUUUUUAUCUGCAACUAUAUAUGAAGAUACAUAUGAAGAGGAAAAUAACAGAUUGGGAAGAAAUGCAUGAAGAUGUUAUUAGUGGUUAUCUCCAGGUGGUAGAAUCUCAGGUGAUGUAUAGUUUCAUCUGUGUAUCUUCCAAGUCUUCUGUAGUUAACAUGGAUUACUUAUAAAAAAGAAAAAGCAAAUAUUGAAAAAAAAAACACAGAGAAAGACUCCACUAGGCAGAAU